AACCGUGUAGCUCACCGGUAGAGCGGCCUCUCGCGAGGUGGCGUUGCGGGUUCAAUUCCCGCCCGGUUG
rnacentral:tRNA from 2 species